rnacentral:sRNA from 1 species
GGUGGUCCGCGUGCAGUCACAACCAGUUAUGGAUUUCUUUGUUCCUUCUCCACGCCCACUGCUUCACUUGACUGGCCUAAA